CUUGAACGCUGGCGGCAUGCUUUACACAUGCAAGUCGAACGGCAGCGCGGGCUUCGGCCUGGCGGCGAGUGGCGAACGGGUGAGUAAUGCAUCGGAACGUGCCCAGUAGUGGGGGAUAGCCCGGCGAAAGCCGGAUUAAUACCGCAUACGACCUGAGGGUGAAAGCGGGGGACCGAAAGGCCUCGCGCUCUUGGAGCGGCCGAUGUCGGAUUAGCUAGUUGGUGGGGUAAAGGCUUACCAAGGCGACGAUCCGUAGCUGGUCUGAGAGGACGACCAGCCACACUGGGACUGAGACACGGCCCAGACUCCUACGGGAGGCAGCAGUGGGGAAUUUUGGACAAUGGGGGCAACCCUGAUCCAGCCAUGCCGCGUGCGGGAAGAAGGCCUUCGGGUUGUAAACCGCUUUUGUUCGGGAAGAAAUCCUCUGGGCUAAUACCCCGGGGGGAUGACGGUACCGGAAGAAUAAGCACCGGCUAACUACGUG
rnacentral:rRNA from 1 species